rnacentral:ncRNA from 1 species
AAACUCUGGAGAAUCCUGUGGUUUUCACAGGUGCCGAAGGUGCAAGGCGGUUUGACUUACCGCCGAAUCUCUCAGGCAAAAGGACAGAGCAGG